rnacentral:rRNA from 1 species
UACGAGGGGGGCAAGCGUUGUUCGGAAUUACUGGGCGUAAAGGGCGCGUAGGCGGCCUUCUAAGUCGGACGUGAAAUCCCUCGGCUUAACCGAGGAACUGCGUCCGAGACUGAAAGGCUUGAAUCCGGGAGAGGGAUGUGGAAUUCCAGGUGUAGCGGUGAAAUGCGUAGAUAUCUGGAGGAACACCGGUGGCGAAGGCGGCAUCCUGGACCGGCAUUGACGCUGAGGCGCGAAAGCUAGGGGAGCAAACGGG